UACGGAGGGAGCUAGCGUUGUUCGGAAUUACUGGGCGUAAAGCGCACGUAGGCGGCUUUGUAAGUUAGAGGUGAAAGCCUGGAGCUCAACUCCAGAACUGCCUUUAAGACUGCAUCGCUUGAAUCCAGGAGAGGUGAGUGGAAUUCCGAGUGUAGAGGUGAAAUUCGUAGAUAUUCGGAAGAACACCAGUGGCGAAGGCGGCUCACUGGACUGGUAUUGACGCUGAGGCACGAAAGCGUGGGGAGCAAACAGGG
rnacentral:rRNA from 1 species